AGAACGAACGCUGGCGGCAUGCCUAACACAUGCAAGUCGAACGAGACCUUCGGGUCUAGUGGCGCACGGGUGCGUAACGCGUGGGAAUCUGCCCUUGGGUUCGGGAUAACAGUUGGAAACGACUGCUAAUACCGGAUGAUGACUUCGGUCCAAAGAUUUAUCGCCCAGGGAUGAGCCCGCGUAGGAUUAGCUUGUUGGUGAGGUAAAGGCUCACCAAGGCGACGAUCCUUAGCUGGUCUGAGAGGAUGAUCAGCCACACUGGGACUGAGACACGG
rnacentral:rRNA from 1 species